AUUGAACGCUGGCGGCAGGCCUAACACAUGCAAGUCGAACGAGUGGCGGACGGGUGAGUAAUACCUCGGAAUCUGCCCUGUCGUGGGGGAUAACGUAGGGAAACUUUCGCUAAUACCGCAUACGAUCGGAUGAGCCGAUGUGGGAUUAGCUAGUUGGCGGGGUAAAGGCCCACCAAGGCGACGAUCCGUAGCUGGUCUGAGAGGAUGACCAGCCACACUGGAACUGAGACACGGUCCAGACUCCUACGGGAGGCAGCAGUGGGGAAUAUUGGACAAUGGGCGCAAGCCUGAUCCAGCCAUACCGCGUGGGUGAAGAAGGCCUUCGGGUUGUAAAGCCCUUUUGUUGGGAAAGCGGUACCCAAAGAAUAAGCACCGGCUAACUUCGUGCCAGCAGCCGCGGUAAUUC
rnacentral:rRNA from 1 species